GGAAGCUGGUCUUCGGAAGCGUCCAGGCAGAAUCAACGGUUUCUGGGUCUGAGAAGUUGCAUACACACUCUCAGUCCCUGUAUCCUGAGAUGGAGUCACCUGAGGAUCCACAGCAAGUCCUAACCAGGGAUGGGUCUGGGUGAUUAAGGAAGGUUGGCUUCAGAACUGGGCCAGAGGCACUGCUUUGCUUUUGCUGUUUUGAUCAGCUCUGUGCCUGCAUGAGACAAGGAAAAUCAAUGGGAACAGCUGGGGAAACUGAGUUACAGAGCUUUUCUGCACUGAGUCAUCAGGAGCAAAUGCUAGAUCAGAUAGAGUCUCUCUCUCUGCCACCCAGGCCAGAGUGCAGUUGACGCAGGGCAGGGGAGCCCCGAAGUGGAGCAUAGUGUGUCCGGAACUGGUGGGUUCUUGGUCUCCCUGACUUCAAGAAUGAAGCCACGGACCCUCGGGGCGCAGGAAUGGGAGGCAGCAGCUGGGGAAGCCAGAGUCUCUGG
rnacentral:lncRNA from 1 species